UACGUAGGUGGCAAGCGUUAUCCGGAAUUAUUGGGCGUAAAGAGCGCGCAGGUGGUUAAUUAAGUCUGAUGUGAAAGCCCACGGCUUAACCGUGGAGGGUCAUUGGAAACUGGUUAACUUGAGUGCAGAAGAGGGAAGUGGAAUUCCAUGUGUAGCGGUGAAAUGCGUAGAGAUAUGGAGGAACACCAGUGGCGAAGGCGGCAUCCUGGACCAUUACUGACACUGAAAAGCGAAAGCCAGGGGAGCAAACGGGG
rnacentral:rRNA from 1 species